rnacentral:rRNA from 1 species
UAGGGAAUCUUCGGCAAUGGGGGGAACCCUGACCGAGCAACGCCGCGUGAGUGAAGAAGGUUUUCGGAUCGUAAAGCUCUGUUGUUAAGGAAGAACGAGUGUGAGAAUGGAAAGUUCAUACUGUGACGGUACUUAACCAGAAAGGGACGGCUAACUACGUGCCAGCAGCCGCGGUAAUACGUAGGUGGCAAGCGUUGUCCGGAUUUAUUGGGCGUAAAGCGAGCGCAGGCGGUCAAUUAAGUCUGAUGUGAAAGCCCCCGGCUCAACCGGGGAGGGUCAUUGGAAACUGGUUGACUUGAGUGCAGAAGAGGAGAGUGGAAUUCCAUGUGUAGCGGUGAAAUGCGUAGAUAUAUGGAGGAACACCAGUGGCGAAGGCGACUCUCUGGUCUGUAACUGACGCGGAGGCUCGAAAGCGUGGGUAGCAAACAGG